rnacentral:lncRNA from 1 species
AUGAGGGCCACAUUUGUGGACCAGGUGGACAUGGCAAAACUGGGCACAGAAGCUAGCAUCAGUGUGUGCAUCCUGGCGGCAGAGGUGGUGCUGGCCCAGUACAUAUUCACCUUGAAAAGGAAGAUGAGAUGAAAAAUCAAGAUCAUCAAAAUUCCUGAAUUCCAGAAAAGUUCAGUUUGCAUCAAGAACCCUGCAAAAAUAACAAAUUAUCUGUGGUUUUAUUAAAGGAAGAUGCCAAACUUUAGUAAUAAUGGACUUUGAUAUGACACUAAGUAGAUUUUCCUACCAAGGGAAAAGAUGCCUAAUGUGUCAUAAUAUGAUUGACAACUAUAAACUUGUCACAGGUGAAUGUCAAAGAGGUUAUUGCAACUAAAGGAAAAAUAUUUUAUUAUUGAAGUUGAACCUGUUAACUUCAAGAGAAGUACCCAUUUAUGGUAGAAUAGUAUGCUGCCCAUCAAUAGUGUCUUUGUUGAACAAACUUUACCAAAAAAUGAAAUUUAAAGAAAUCGUGGAAGAAUCUGAUGUUAUGCUCAAGGAAGGAUAUAAUAAUUUACUUGAGAAGCUCCAAUAACACAGUAUUCAUGUUCAUAUUUUCAGCAGAUACUGGUGCUGUAGAGAAGUUUAUCAGUCAAGCUGGUGUUUAUCAUCCAAAUGUCAAAGUAGUGUUUGUUUGUAGAUUUGUGAAAAUGUGUACUCAAAGGAUUUAAAGGAGAAUUACCUCAUGCAGUUAACGAACAUAAUGUUGCCUUGAAGUACACAGAACAUUUCAGUCAAUUAAAAGACAAUAGUAACAUAAUUCUGCUGAGACUCCCAAGAAGACUUUAAAAGGGCAUACAAAUUAGCCAAAUUUUCACAUUCUGAAAAUUAGAUCCCUAAAUGAUAGAGUGGAUAAGCAUUCAGGAAAGUAUUGUUUCAUCAAAAGAUGAAUCACUAGAAGUAGCCAACUCCAUCUUACAGAC